GAAGCUGGAGAGAGGAAUAUGUAACUACCUGGCAGUCGUAUGAUGAUUCGAGACCAUCACGUGGUGUGUAGUCUCAAGUACAGAAGCCCCUUGGGUGGCCACUGCUACCAUUUCAAGAAAUAAUCCAGAAGCAGCAGGCCAGAGGCCAGCACUUUGCAGGGAGAAGGUCUCAAAGCCUCUCGAGUCCCUCAGCUGUCUGGCAGAUGACUUGCUGCCAGCUUUGCUCAGGUUCCUGUCUGCCACACUGAAGCUCGCUGCCUGUGACGACGUGCACCUGCAAUCUGCCUGCCGGAUGAUGCCAGGUCAUCUGACAAGGCAACUACAGAUGAGAUCCUACGACAUCCCGGCUGGGGGACUCUGCCAUGGCGUCUGCAAGCCGCUCCCGGAGGCCCUCCUCCG